rnacentral:rRNA from 1 species
CUCGUAGGCGGUUCGUCGCGUCCGGUGUGAAAGUCCAUCGCUUAACGGUGGAUCCGCGCCGGGUACGGGCGGGCUUGAGUGCGGUAGGGGAGACUGGAAUUCCCGGUGUAACGGUGGAAUGUGUAGAUAUCGGGAAGAACACCGAUGGCGAAGGCAGGUCUCUGGGCCGUCACUGACGCUGGGGAGCGAAAGCGUGGGGAGCGAACA